rnacentral:rRNA from 1 species
AUGAAAUUCUUACAACACAUUAGUCUAGAAGAUUGUAAGAAUCUUGUGGAACUUCCUGGUGGUAUUGCAAAGUUACAAGAACUGAGAUGUCUUGACCUUGAUCGCACAAGGCUAAUUAGUAUGCCUAGGGGUUUUGGUGCUCUAAAUUUUUUGAAGACAUUGUAUGGGUUCCUAGCUCACAUGGAUGGCAAUUGGUGUAGUUUGGAAGAGAUUGGACCUAUUUCCCAGCUUAGGCGCAUUGGAUUAGUGGGUCUGGAGAAUGUAACUGAUGCCGCAUUCGCCAAAAAGGCUAGGCUCGGUGAAAAGGUAUGUCUUUCCAUCAUGACCUUAAGCUGUAGCACCAGACUAGGUAAUUAUGGAUUAGUCAAAGAACGAGUCUUGGAGAAGGAUCAAGGAAUAAUUGAGAAGGUCUUUGAUGAGCUUUGUCCUCCAGCUCGCAUAGAAGAUAUCCAUAUAACUGGAUAUUUUUGGCGUCAACUCCCAAGAUGGAUGAUGUCGACAACAAUGAUACCCCUCAAUAGCUUGAGGAUAUUACAUAUGAAUGACUUGGAUUACUGCACCCACCUCCCUGAUGGCUUGUGUCAGAUUCCAUGUUUGGAGUUCUUGGAGCUCCGACAUGCUCCAACAAUCAAGUGUGUUGGGCCUGAAUUCGUGCAGGGCUACGAUCGCUGUCGUCAUGCUUCAUCCCAGGAGGUGUCUGCUUUUCCAAGACUGCACACAAUGAUUUUACAUGGAAUGUUGGAAUGGGAGGAGUGGCAGUGGGAGAAGGAAGUGCAAGCUAUGGCCGUCUUGAAAGAUCUUUUUCUUCAAAGUUGCAAAUUGAGGUGUAUCCCUUCUGGCCUUGCCACCCAUGCAAACACCAUGAAAAAGUUAACCAUCUACAGCAUUCGACAACUCCAUUAUAUAGAGAACUUUGCUUCUGUAGUUGAGCUCGACUUGUAUGAACUAUCCAACCUGACUAGGAUCUCCAAUUUCCCUAAAUUGCAAAAGCUUGAGAUUAAUCGGUGCCAAAAUCUCGAGUCACUGCAAGAGAUGAAUGCACUACGGAGAUUUGUGUUGACACUUCACUACAGUGAGACACAACUCCCGAUGUACCUGCAAACUGUAAAGCCAAGUCAGUUGCUGCUUGACAGCAGCCUAAGGGUACUCGCUUCCAUGGCUUUGGAGAAGUAUGGGGCCGGGUGGGAAAUGUUCAGUCAUAUCCGGCAUGUCGAGGCUUAUACCAAUGGUCAAGGCAUUGAAAAGAGAUGGCACCUAUUGUACACGAGCGAGCCCUACAGCAUGGAGACAAACAUUGACAUGGAGGAGUGCUCAUGGUCAUUUUCUAAAAAAGAAAAAGGGAGUGGUCAUGGUCCAAAUCAAAGUCUGAAGAUAAGGAGGGUGUAG